rnacentral:lncRNA from 1 species
ACACUAUCACCUACGCAUACCUCUGCUUCUUUUCAUUAACCUGCUAUCCUCUUUACAAAUGGGAUUCUUCACCCACUCCCUUCUUCUAGAUUAGCAAUGCCCUGUUAAGUAAACGAACACGAAAUUCAAAGGGAAACAGGAGCAAUCAUCAUUACCAGCUGCCGUGUUAAGCAUUGCGAAAACGCUCACGAUUCACAGAAAAAUCCAUGCUGUUCUUUGAAGGCAUUCAAGCCUUAAUAGCUAGCUGGAUGAAUGUUUAACUUCUAGGCCAGGCACUACUCUGUCCCAACAAUAAGCCCUGUACAUUGGGAAAGGUGCCGAGACAUGAACUUUGGUCUUCUCUGCAAUCCAUCUGGAGCAUUCACUGACAACAUCGACUUUGAAGUUGCACUGACCUGGCCAGCCCUGCCACUUACCAGGUUGGGCUCUUGAGUUUCUGCUUUCAAGUGACCCUCAGAAAUUCCUCCAUUCACUGCAGAGGUUCUGUUUCUCCUUGCUUUGUUCUGACUUUACGGCAGAACUAAGCUAAUGAGUUAGUUACUAUGGGUUAUCACUUGGAUUUGAAGAACCAUCAUUUCUAGGCAUUGCUGCUCAGAGUGGGUCUGCCCUCAGGGGAAGCUGUCUAACCAGAGCCUAACCCACUAGGGUUUUAUCAGAACCUAACUGACCUGAGGAAAAGAAAUACUCAACUCCAGCAAGCUCCAGCCUUCCAAAUGGAGGAGGAGAAAACCCAACUCCAGCCCACUUCAGCUAUCUUGUCCCACAUAAAGGGGAAGUGGAAGAAACCUGAGAAGCAGGCAUGAAGUUCACAGUCCAGAGGUACAGACACAUCAGAGUUCAGUAUCUGAUGAAUUAGAUGCAAAAACCUCAACAAA